rnacentral:rRNA from 1 species
AUGUCUGAUCCAAGCAGCACAGCUUCCUCUUAUUCCACGUCGCCCCGGCUCACCACCGGCGUCGUCAACUUCUUGGCGCGCCGCGCCAUGACCACGCAGAACCACCACAGAGCAGCAGCAUCCCUCCACUCGCCAGGCUCCUCCACCGGCUCCGCCGACACCGCGCCAUGGCACUACCGUGCCCCGGCCACGCCGCCGCCUCUGCUCCCGUUCGACGCCAACGACGCCGACGAGAUGCUGCUGCUUGACAUGCUCUCCCAGCACCAGGAGGACAUGCACACCGACACCGCGACAGCGCCCGUUCCCACCACGACGGCGGCAACGGCCGUGAAGCGAGAGGUCAGCGAAGAGGUGGAGGCCAAGGUGGCCGUCGGCGGCAGUCGGCGCGCGUUCCGCGGGGUGCGGAAGCGGCCGUGGGGCAAGUUCGCGGCGGAGAUCCGGGACUCGACGCGGGACGGCGUCCGGGUGUGGCUGGGCACGUUUGACAGCCCGGAGGAGGCGGCGCUCGCGUACGACCAGGCCGCCUUCGCCAUGCGGGGCGGCGCCGCCGUGCUCAAUUUCCCCGCCGACCAGGUACGGCGCUCGCUCGAGGGCGCAGGGGACGACGUGUGUGGCCGCGCCGACGGGUUGUCACCCGUGCUGGCGCUGAAGCGGCGGCACUCCAUGCACAGGCGGGCGUCUACAACACGAAAGGCUAGUAGGGCCGUCCGGACGGGCCGGCCGGAGGGCGUGAUGGAGCUUGAGGACCUCGGCGCAGAAUACCUCGAGGAGCUGCUCGGCGCCUCCGACGACAUGACGACCUCGGCCUCCAGUUCAUGGUGCUCGGGUCAUCACUCCAUCUGA